rnacentral:misc_RNA from 1 species
AUAAAUUCCAUCAUAAAUGAAAGGGAGAAGCGACAACUCUUUCCUUCUCUGAAAAGUUGGUCAAGGAAAAUAAGACAGAUUACUAUAGAAUCUUUCAAAUAAAAUGAACAGAAAAAAUUACACCAGAAAGCCCAACAGCCCCAUAAACAACCAAUAGGAACAAUAUUUCAGAAACAAAAUUACUCUUUGAAAAUAAAAAUACUAGCAGAAAACUGUAGAUUGUCCCACAAUCUGCCACUAUAGCACUAAACUUUUCCAGCUUAG